AAUACAUGCAAGUCGAGCGAACGGACGAGAAGCUUGCUUCUCUGAUGUUAGCGGCGGACGGGUGAGUAACACGUGGAUAACCUACCUAUAAGACUGGGAUAACUUCGGGAAACCGGAGCUAAUACCGGAUAAUAUUUUGAACCGCAUGGUUCAAAAGUGAAAGACGGUCUUGCUGUCACUUAUAGAUGGAUCCGCGCUGCAUUAGCUAGUUGGUAAGGUAACGGCUUACCAAGGCAACGAUGCAUAGCCGACCUGAGAGGGUGAUCGGCCACACUGGAACUGAGACACGGUCCAGACUCCUACGGGAGGCAGCAGUAGGGAAUCUUCCGCAAUGGGCGAAAGCCUGACGGAGCAACGCCGCGUGAGUGAUGAAGGUCUUCGGAUCGUAAAACUCUGUUAUUAGGGAAGAACAUAUGUGUAAGUAACUGUGCACAUCUUGACGGUACCUAAUCAGAAAGCCACGGCUAACUACGUGCCAGCAGCCGCGGUAAUACGUAGGUGGCAAGCGUUAUCCGGAAUUAUUGGGCGUAAAGCGCGCGUAGGCGGUUUUUUAAGUCUGAUGUGAAAGCCCACGGCUCAACCGUGGAGGGUCAUUGGAAACUGGAAAACUUGAGUGCAGAAGAGGAAAGUGGAAUUCCAUGUGUAGCGGUGAAAUGCGCAGAGAUAUGGAGGAACACCAGUGGCGAAGGCGACUUUCUGGUCUGUAACUGACGCUGAUGUGCGAAAGCGUGGGGAUCAAACAGGAUUAGAUACCCUGGUAGUCCACGCCGUAAACGAUGAGUGCUAAGUGUUAGGGGGUUUCCGCCCCUUAGUGCUGCAGCUAACGCAUUAAGCACUCCGCCUGGGGAGUACGACCGCAAGGUUGAAACUCAAAGGAAUUGACGGGGACCCGCACAAGCGGUGGAGCAUGUGGUUUAAUUCGAAGCAACGCGAAGAACCUUACCAAAUCUUGACAUCCUUUGACAACUCUAGAGAUAGAGCCUUCCCCUUCGGGGGACAAAGUGACAGGUGGUGCAUGGUUGUCGUCAGCUCGUGUCGUGAGAUGUUGGGUUAAGUCCCGCAACGAGCGCAACCCUUAAGCUUAGUUGCCAUCAUUAAGUUGGGCACUCUAAGUUGACUGCCGGUGACAAACCGGAGGAAGGUGGGGAUGACGUCAAAUCAUCAUGCCCCUUAUGAUUUGGGCUACACACGUGCUACAAUGGACAAUACAAAGGGCAGCGAAACCGCGAGGUCAAGCAAAUCCCAUAAAGUUGUUCUCAGUUCGGAUUGUAGUCUGCAACUCGACUACAUGAAGCUGGAAUCGCUAGUAAUCGUAGAUCAGCAUGCUACGGUGAAUACGUUCCCGGGUCUUGUACACACCGCCCGUCACACCACGAGAGUUUGUAACACCCGAAGCCGGUGGAGUAACCUUUUAGGAGCUAGCCGUCGAAGGUGGGACAAAUGAUUGGGGUGAAGUCGUAACAAGGUAGCCGUAUCGGAAGGUGCGGCUGGAUCACCUCCUUUCUAAGGAUAUAU
rnacentral:rRNA from 1 species